rnacentral:rRNA from 1 species
UGGGGAAUCUUGCACAAUGGGGGAAACCCUGAUGCAGCGACGCCGCGUGAGCGAUGAAGGUUUUCGAAUCGUAAAGCUCUGUCCUAUCCCCCCCCCCCCCCCCCCCCCCCCCCCCCACCCCCCCCCCACUACCCCCCAGCAGCCGCGGUAAUACGUAGGGGGCGAGCGUUGUCCGGAAUUACUGGGCGUAAAGGGUUCGCAGGCGGCAUGGCAAGUCCGAUGUAAAAGGCGAAGGCUCAACCUUCGUAAGCAUCGGAAACUGUCAAGCUUGAGUGAAGGAGAGGCAAGUGGAAUUCCUAGUGUAGCGGUGGAAUGCGUAGAUAUUAGGAGGAAUACCGGUGGCGAAGGCGACUUGCUGGACGUCAACUGACGCUGAGGAACGAAAGCGUGGGUAGCAAACAGG